rnacentral:pre_miRNA from 1 species
UCUCUCCAUUCCGCGUGCUCCCUCGUCGGUUAGAGAUGAGGAGAGAGCUCGCGAUAUGAAGAGGC